ACUCAAAUGAAUUGACGGGGGCCCGCACAAGCGGUGGAGCAUGUGGUUUAAUUCGACGCAACGCGAAGAACCUUACCUACUCUUGACAUCUACAGAAGACUGCAGAGAUGCGGUUGUGCCUUCGGGAACUGUAAGACAGGUGCUGCAUGGCUGUCGUCAGCUCGUGUUGUGAAAUGUUGGGUUAAGUCCCGCAACGAGCGCAACCCUUAUCCUUAGUUGCCAGCACGUUAUGGUGGGAACUCUAGGGAGACUGCCGGUGAUAAACCGGAGGAAGGUGGGGACGACGUCAAGUCAUCAUGGCCCUUACGAGUAGGGCUACACACGUGCUACAAUGGUAUGUACAGAGGGAGGCAAGCCUGCGAGGGUGAGCGGAUCUCUUAAAGCAUAUCGUAGUCCGGAUCGCAGUCUGCAACUCGACUGCGUGAAGUCGGAAUCGCUAGUAAUCGCAAAUCAGAAUGUUGCGGUGAAUACGUUCCCGGGCCUUGUACACACCGCCCGU
rnacentral:rRNA from 1 species